AGGCUUUAAGCCCCAACCCUGCUUACUUCCGAGUCAGGGGAACUUGAUGCUUCUUGACCAACCACGGCAGCAGGCACAACCCCUGCCUGCCUGACGCCAUGAGAACGAAGCUGAGGUGCGGCGGGACGGGCCUAGGCCUUCCUGGGGCAGCAGGACCAGGGGCUUGCCGCAGCACCUCAGCCCUUCAGGUUAGGCCAGAGCUGCUGCAGGAACAUGGAGCCCCAAGGCCCGUACCCCCACUUUACUACAUGAGGUACAGACAUCAGACUUCUGGCAUCUGUAUUUUCACCCUGGCUGUCUCCAGCCCAGGAAGCAGACAAGAUUCCAGCUGGCACACCUAGGCUGCACCAGCACCACCGUGGAGGGCUCAACGGGCACUCUGUGUCACAUUUCAUCAAGAUACUGGCUUUGAAGUUGGCCACACAAACCUACCUGCUCACUGCCUGCCAUACAUCCUGACUGUUGCCUGUAAAACACAAAGUCUAUUUCUGACAAUACUAUUUCUAUAUCACUUUUGCUCUACGGCCUGUUAAAGUUUCAGAAGAAUGACUUCCCUUAUAGAUAAUCCUGUAAGACAUCUUGCAACAGCUGGCAUUCCUGGGUUUGUUAAAAAGUUUAUAAAGCAAAAUAGAGCAAAAAAAAUCAAUACUAAAAUGGCAUUUUAAAAGUGAAGGGAAGGAAAUUUGGCUUUGAUCUUAAAAUGAUUACCACUUUCUUAAAAAAGAAAGGCUCCUUAUUUUUUGCAUUUACGUCAAACACAAAGACAAAACCCAGAAUGUGCAUCCAGGCUUUUCUAGGAUUCAGAUAUGCAGCUUAGAUUUGUGCUUGCCUUUGCCAGCAGUGUACAUUUUUAUUUUAAUAAAUACCUCAUCUAUGUGCA
rnacentral:lncRNA from 1 species